rnacentral:lncRNA from 1 species
GUGGGCAUGGCCGACUCCACCAGAGUGUGUAAAUAAACCAUCAUCAGAUGGGCCAGCGCUGGAUCUGCUUGUGAAGGGCGCCAGGAUCAAACUUGGGGAAAUGGAAUCCUGGGAGCCCUUGGGUUCUGUGCCUGGUAGGGCUGGGAGCUCACAGGCACAGGGUGAGGAGGCCAGGCAGCAGACAGAACUGGGAACUCAGGCCUAACAGAGGAAAAGGAGCUUCCACCCUCCUACAGUCCGGGAUAUGAUUCGCACGGGGAGGGUGUCAGCUUCCCAGGCCACAGAGCAGCGCGAGGCUGACUCUGCACCCGGCCACCUCUCUGCUCCAACCAUCAUCUGAAGUGCUGGCUUGCAGUGGCUCCCUAGACCUUAAGCCCUUGACCCUGAGGCACCAGAACACGCAGCCACCCUUGUGGGUAGAUAGCGUCAGGCAGUUGAUGGCAGGGAGAAGAGCCCAGGCCCCUCCGGAAGGAGCGUGCAGGUGUGGUGGGUGUGACGACAACCUCAUCUUUAGGGCCCUGCCUGGAGAGCUGCUUCCAGAAAGGAAAGUGAACCACUGAGGCUGGGGGUGUCUCAGCAGCCUCCAGUCCAGAGGAGCGUGGAAACCAACACCUGUUGACAGCAUGGCCAUCGGCUCCCUCUCCUUUGGCCUCCCGGGAUCCCCUCCUACAAUGAGCUUCCUCUGGUCUAUGAGAGGCAUCCUGAGUUCACUGACUAAGCGCACUGAAUCAGAAUAAGAUUUUACCCCUUAUCUUAAGAACAAUUCUAUUAAGUGCCAAGUUCUGUUACGGAGUCCUGGGUGCAGCUGGAGUCCAAGGCUUUUAAAACAGGAGCCUGUGAGCUGGGUGUGGUGGUCACACCCAUAAUGCCAGUGAGUCCGAGGCUGAGGCAGGAGGGUUACAAAUUCAAGGCCAGCCUCAGCAACUUAAUGAGGCUCCAAACAACUUAGAGAGACCCUGUCUCAAAUAAAAGGAGGGUGUGUGUGUGCUGGAGAUGUGGUUCAGUGGUUAAGCACCCCCGGAUUCAGUGCUCAGUAUCAAACAAUCAAAGAGCCUGAGAAGGCUGGAGCAGGAAGGAGGAAGGACUCAGUUACGUCUUAAGGAUGGUGGUGGGCAGCACAACAGUCCCCAGUGGUCCCUAAUCGGAAUCCAUUUAACCUGGGACACCGCCACACCAAAUGGCAAAGGGGACUUGAGGUCACCAAUGGAACUGAGGUUGCUGAUCAGCUGGACUUAAGAUGGC